UGUCCUGUUUUAGUACCAUGCAUCUGCCUUUUAUUAUGGAUGUGAGGUUAUGCUAACAGGAAAGAGAAACUGUCCAUCAGUGUCUGAAGGGGUGGAGCAGCCUCAUUUCUGUCCCCCCUAAUGAAAUGAUGGUACAAUUUGAU